rnacentral:rRNA from 1 species
UACGAGGGGGGCGAGCGUUGUUCGGAAUUAUUGGGCGUAAAGGGUGCGUAGGCGGUUUGGUAAGUCUUAUGUGAAAUCUAUGGGCUCAACUCAUAGUCUGCAUGAGAAACUGCCGGGCUUGAGUGUGGGAGAGGUGAGUGGAAUUUCCGGUGUAGCGGUGAAAUGCGUAGAUAUCGGAAGGAACACCUGUGGCGAAAGCGGCUCACUGGACCAUAACUGACACUGAGGCACGAAAGCGUGGGUAGCAAACAGG